UACGGAGGGUGCAAGCGUUGUCCGGAUUUAUUGGGUUUAAAGGGCGCGUAGGCGGCCUUGUCAGUCAGGCGUGAAAGCCCCGGGCUCAACCUGGGAACGGCGCUUGGGACGGCGAGGCUGGAGUUCGGGAGAGGAGAGUGGAAUUCCCAGUGUAGAGGUGAAAUUCGUAGAUAUUGGGAAGAACACCGGUGGCGAAGGCGGCUCUCUGGACCGACACUGACGCUGAGGCGCGAAAGCGUGGGGAGCAAACAGG
rnacentral:rRNA from 1 species